rnacentral:rRNA from 1 species
AUUGAACGCUGGCGGCAGGCCUAACACAUGCAAGUCGAGCGGAUGAGUGGAGCUUGCUCCACGAUUCAGCGGCGGACGGGUGAGUAAUGCCUAGGAAUCUGCCUGGUAGUGGGGGACGACGUUUCGAAAGGAACGCUAAUACCGCAUACGUCCUACGGGAGAAAGUGGGGGAUCUUCGGACCUCACGCUAUCAGAUGAGCCUAGGUCGGAUUAGCUAGUUGGUGAGGUAAAGGCUCACCAAGGCGACGAUCCGUAACUGGUCUGAGAGGAUGAUCAGUCACACUGGAACUGAGACACGGUCCAGACUCCUACGGGAGGCAGCAGUGGGGAAUAUUGGACAAUGGGCGAAAGCCUGAUCCAGCCAUGCCGCGUGUGUGAAGAAGGUCUUCGGAUUGUAAAGCACUUUAAGUUGGGAGGAAGGGCAGUAAGUUAAUACCUUGCUGUUUUGACGUUACCAACAGAAUAAGCACCGGCUAACUUCGUGCCAGCCGCCGCCGUAAGAC